rnacentral:rRNA from 1 species
CUUAUUCGUACCUUUUGCAUCAUGGAGCUGGUAUCAGGACGMCUGACACACAGAUUCAGUACCAAGGAGGWACCCUUGUGUAUAUGURUUACAGCCAGUAACCAUGUCAUUGUAGGGAUGACCAAACACAUCUCCAAAUUUACCACAGAUGGUAAAAUKGUGUGUACUACUAUGGCUAAAGGAACUCGGCAAAAAA